rnacentral:rRNA from 1 species
AGAGUUUGAUCCUGGCUCAGGAUGAACGCUGGCGGCGUGCUUAACACAUGCAAGUCGAACGAACCUUCGGGUUAGUGGCGGACGGGUGAGUAACGCGUGAGAAUCUGCCCUCAGGAGGGGGACAACAGCUGGAAACGGCUGCUAAUACCCCAUAUGCCGCGAGGUGAAAUGAAUUUCGCCUGAGGAUGAGCUCGCGUCUGAUUAGCUAGUUGGUGUAGGUAAUGGCUCACCAAGGCAUCGAUCAGUAGCUGGUCUGAGAGGAUGAUCAGCCACACUGGGACUGAGACACGGCCCAGACUCCUACGGGAGGCAGCAGUGGGGAAUUUUCCGCAAUGGGCGAAAGCCUGACGGAGCAACGCCGCGUGAGGGAUGAAGGCCUCUGGGCUGUAAACCUCUUUUAUCAAGGAAGAAGAUCUGACGGUACUUGAUGAAUAAGCCACGGCUAAUUCCGUGCCAGCAGCCGCGGUAAUACGGGAGUGGCAAGCGUUAUCCGGAAUUAUUGGGCGUAAAGCGUCCGCAGGCGGCCCUUCAAGUCUGCUGUUAAAAAGUGGAGCUUAACUCCAUCAUGGCAGUGGAAACUGUUGGGCUUGAGUGUGGUAGGGGCAGAGGGAAUUCCCGGUGUAGCGGUGAAAUGCGUAGAUAUCGGGAAGAACACCAGUGGCGAAGGCGCUCUGCUGGGCCAUCACUGACGCUCAUGGACGAAAGCCAGGGGAGCGAAAGGGAUUAGAUACCCCUGUAGUCCUGGCCGUAAACGAUGAACACUAGGUGUCGGGGGAAUCGACCCCCUCGGUGUCGUAGCCAACGCGUUAAGUGUUCCGCCUGGGGAGUACGCACGCAAGUGUGAAACUCAAAGGAAUUGACGGGGGCCCGCACAAGCGGUGGAGUAUGUGGUUUAAUUCGAUGCAACGCGAAGAACCUUACCAGGGUUUGACAUCCUGCGAAUCUCUUGGAAACAGGAGAGUGCCUUCGGGAACGCAGUGACAGGUGGUGCAUGGCUGUCGUCAGCUCGUGUCGUGAGAUGUUGGGUUAAGUCCCGCAACGAGCGCAACCCACGUCUUUAGUUGCCAGCAUUUAGUUGGGCACUCUAGAGAGACUGCCGGUGAUAAACCGGAGGAAGGUGUGGAUGACGUCAAGUCAUCAUGCCCCUUACAUCCUGGGCUACACACGUACUACAAUGCUACGGACAAAGGGCAGCAAGUUCGCGAGGACAAGCAAAUCCCAUAAACCGUGGCUCAGUUCAGAUCGUAGGCUGCAACUCGCCUACGUGAAGUAGGAAUCGCUAGUAAUCGCAGGUCAGCAUACUGCGGUGAAUACGUUCCCGGGCCUUGUACACACCUCCCGUCACACCAUGGAAGUUGGCCAUGCCCGAAGUCGUUACUCCAACCCUUGUGGAGGAGGACGCCGAAGGUGGGGCUAAUGACUGGGGUGAAGUCGUAACAAGGUAACC